GCUAUAGUGAAUCACCUCUAUUGGACUGCAGCCUCAACCCCAGAUGGCAACCCAGCGGUCAUGGAGGCCAAAUGGAGAAGUUUAGUGAACCACAUCCAGGACAUCCAUGACCAUGACACCCCUGCCUUCUCCAGUUGUGCCCAUGGCCCUCUAGACGAAGAUCAGCGCAACAAAGAGUGGCUGGACCCAGGCUCAUUGGCAGCAGUCAAGUUGGAGAACAUAAUGAUGAGGCUGCCUUGCUGAAAGAUGUUCGUCAGCUGUCUCCACAGCACCAGACCUUCUCCCUUGAGGCUUACCACUCCCUCAUCUUGCACUUCGCGCCCAAGCACACAGGGUUUUCAUACCUUGGGAUGUAUAGCAG
ensembl:lncRNA